rnacentral:rRNA from 1 species
AUGAUUCAUGCUUCGUACGUGACCUGCGGAGGUCAUUACAAGUGAGGCUACCGAACGUUGGAAACAGCGGUUAGGAGCUUACACCCACCCGUGUUUACAUACUAUUGUUGCUUUGGCGGGCCGUGGCCUCCACUGCGGGCUCUGCUCGUGUGUGCCCGCCAGAGAACCAAACUCUGAAUGUUAGUGAUGUCUGAGUACUAUCUAAUAGUUAAAACUUUCAACAACGGAUCUCUUGGUUCUGGCAUCGAUGAAGAACGCAGCGAAAUGCGAUAAGUAAUGUGAAUUGCAGAAUUCAGUGAAUCAUCGAAUCUUUGAACGCACAUUGCGCCCUGUGGUAUUCCGCAGGGCAUGCCUGUUCGAGCGUCAUUUAACCACUCACGCCUAGCGUGGUAUUGGGGCACGCGGUCUCCGCGGCCCUCAAAAUUAGUGGCGGCGCCGGUGGGCUCUAAGCGUAGUACAUACUCCCGCUAUAGAGUUCCCCCCGGUGGCUCGCCAGAACCCCCAAUUUUUUACAGGUUGACCUCGGAUCAGGUAGGGAUACCCGCUGAACUUAAGCAUAUCAG